GAUGAACGCUGGCGGCGUGCCUAAUACAUGCAAGUCGAGCGAACGGACGAGAAGCUUGCUUCUCUGAUGUUAGCGGCGGACGGGUGAGUAACACGUGGAUAACCUACCUAUAAGACUGGGAUAACUUCGGGAAACCGGGGCUAAUACCGGAUAAUAUUUUGAACCGCAUGGUUCAAUAGUGAAAGACGGUCUUGCUGUCACUUAUAGAUGGAUCCGCGCUGCAUUAGCUAGUUGGUAAGGUAACGGCUUACCAAGGCAACGAUGCAUAGCCGACCUGAGAGGGUGAUCGGCCACACUGGAACUGAGACACGGUCCAGAAUCCUACGGGAGGCAGCAGUAGGGAAUCUUCCGCAAUGGGCGAUAGCCUGACGGAGCAACGCCGCGUGAGUGAUGAAGGUCUUCGGAUCGUAAAACUCUGUUAUUAGGGAAGAACAUAUGUGUAAGUAACUGUGCACAUCUUGACGGUACCUAAUCAGAAAGCCACGGCUAACUACGUG
rnacentral:rRNA from 1 species